rnacentral:lncRNA from 1 species
CUUUUUAACAUUUUUUGGCCAUAUUCAUUUUAUGUGCCUUCAUAUUAGAAUAAAUAAAGUCAGCAGGCUCCUAUUGAUUUUUAGAGGGAGCAAUCUCAUCUGUAAGAAUGAAAGAAAGUGAAGUCCAUCAAAACCAAUUGAUGAACAAAUAUGUGAUGAAAAUUGAAGAAAGUAAUAACAUAAAAAUAAAGGGUAAGUAUAAAUAUAUUUCUGAAAUAUGACUGUGAUUUUCAAAUCUAGAUUUUGUGUCCCAAUAGGUAAAAGGCCUUCAAAAUCAUUUUUAAUUAAUCAUAAUCAUGAACACACAUUUCAUAGAAAAGUGGUUUACUUUCUUAGCCAUUAUAUUCUUAACCAGAACCCACAGCAGAAUCCAUUGGGUGGGGGUUCUUGUUUUGAUACACAUAUCUAAGUUCCAUACCAGGAAAUCUAUGAUGGAGUCCUGAUAUCUAAAUCUAAUUUUUAUGUUUAUAAUUUGUGAAUAGAUGCCUCGAUCCCAGUAGUACACACAUCCCUGCUCUAGUCCACACAACGCAUGUUUAUUUGUAUUAAGUGCAUGAGACUAUUUCUAUUAACAUUGUGUUCCCAGCCUCAUGCUGCUUUCACCUCAGAUUUACAAAGUCUGAAACUGAAGUCAAAUGCAGUGUAGUAAAACAAAUAACACAAGAGGUGAAAGGCCUUGGUUUAAUGAUCUGCUUUGCCAUUCAGGAGUUAUCAGGUCUCAGUCAAACUGGAUAAUCCCCUAAACCAACUUUCUCUUUUGUAGAGCAGAGCUCAUACUUCUUGCAGCACCUGAACUUCACAGUUCUCUUUCAUCCUGCUUCCUGCUUUCCCAUAUGGACUUUACUCUUGGUCGUCUGUGUAUCUUGCAUCAUGCCUUACAUUACAGGGCAGGAGGCUAGUUCUAGCCCUUACCACUUAGGCUGUUGGGAAAAAUUGCAAACUGGUUUGUAGCAGUUUCUACUUGCUGCAAUUCAAUCUCUGCAUUGCUGUCAGAUNNNNNNNNNNNNNNNNNNNNNNNNNNNNNAACAAAAAGUCUCUUCUGUCUGGAUUAAUUCAUCAGGGUUUCCCAAGGGUGCAUAUGGGGAAAAGUCAAACUACCCAUGCUCCUCUAGAGAUUAUGAUGUAUUCUACCAGGGGCACAUAUCAUCUACCUAGCAGAGCCAAGACCUUCCCUCAUGAAUCACUUACUGGAGAAAAUACUGCAGCAGAUCACUUAGCUCCCUGAUGUGGACUGAUGCUCCAAGCCACUGAGUUUAUUGUCCUUAAUGGAACAGAGUUAUACUCAACAGUUAUU